rnacentral:rRNA from 1 species
UACAGAGGGUGCGAACGUUGUUCGGAAUCACUGGGCAUAAAGCGCACGUAGGCGGCACCGCAAGUGUGGAGUGAAAUCCCACGGCUUACCCGUGGAACUGCUUGGCAGACUGCGGUGCUAGAGGUUGGUAGGGGAGAGCGGAACUCUUGGUGGAGCGGUGAAAUGCGUAGAUAUCAAGAGGAACACCGGUGGCGAAGGCGGAUCUCUGGGCCAUUACUGACGCUGAGGAGCGAAAGCGUGGGGAGCGAACAGG